GUGUGUUGGUGCAUGUCUGCAAUCCCAGCUACUCCCACUUACCUGGGAGGCUGAGGCAGGAAGAUUGUAAGUUUUAGGCCAGACUGGGCAAUUUAGUAACACCCUGUCUCAAAAAAAUGGGCUGGGGAUGUAGCUCAGUGGCAGAGCACCCCUGGGUUCAAUCUCUAGUACUGCAAAAACAAAACAAAAUACUCUGCAUGGCUAAGGGGUCUAUCUAUGCUUAAGAUUUUCAUGGUCUGGCUUCCUAGAGAAUGGUAACAGGCUUUCUCAUUCAAGAGUCAGCCUUGGAUACAAAGGGCAGGGAAAUCGGAGCCAAGGAGAUUCUCUGUAUGAUCUCUAGCUAACCAAUAAGUCCUAGGAGAUUAGAACACUUGGUGUGUUCCCUUCUGAUUAUUUUCUGGUGAGCCUCACUCUUUAAGGGCUUAAACCAUGUCUGACCUCAUCUAGUUGGAGGCUCAAGGGCAGACAAUAUCCUAUCAGACCAGGAUUUCUCGGGGUGGAAUUGAUGGUAGUUUCUACUUCUUUCUAUACAACUGUGGUGUGCUCAACAAGAUUGUUUCCUUAGCAGAGCCUGGGUGAGGCAGCAUGGAGAGAGCAGCCUUUGGAGAAGGCUGGGCCCAGGUUUGAAUCCUCACUCUGCCACUGUUUACCAUCCCAGUAACCUUAAGUAAGUCACUUCACAAUUUUUGUGUGUGUGUGUGCGUGCGUGUGUGGUGCUGGGGGCCUAAUCCAAGGCCUUGUGCAUGCUAGGCAAGUACUCUACCACUGAGCUAUACCCUCAACACCACUUGACAAUUCUGUUUCCUCAUUUGUGAGGAUAGAGGCAGAUGGUGAUAGUGCCUACCUCAAAGGUAUAAGGUACAAAUCCAGGAAAUUUGAUUGAGUGUAUUUUGUAAGUGGCCUUGUUUCAGGCACUGAGGGAUAGAGGUGAAGCUCACAACAGGCCUUAGGGCCUCCUCUGGGUGUGUUUUAGGAACUUAGAGAUGUCACAUAAAAAGCCUGGGUUAUAUGCUAGGUGAUAAAAGUGGGGCAACAGAUAUGGAGCACAAGAAGAGAGUGGGUAACUCGGGUGUAGGGUAUCAGGUGUGCCUAGGCACACAAAAUAGGAAAGAACAUUGGCACUGGGGACAAAAUGGUGAGCAUGGAGGAAAUGGGGCACUCUGCCUGGCACAGAAAAUAUCCAACCCAGGUAAGAUGCUCUUUUUGAAAGAGUUUGCCCUGGAUGUCCUCCUUUUUCCUGGGUAGGUAAAUAACGUGGCACCUUCAUAGUUUUGUUCUGUUACUCGUGGGGUGGGAUAGGCAGAGUUGGUGGGUCUGGGCUUCCCCUCCCCUCCCCCUGCUGCCAUUAUCAGUUGUGUCCAGAUGGUCACAGGCUCCUUAAUCUGGGAUAAUCGGUGGGUCACAGCCCAGCUGGGACCUGGGUCUUUGUGUCUGGCUAUGAUGUGCCAGCCCCAGCUGGAAAGACUGCAGACAGGCCCUGGGGCUCUGGAAGAUGGGGAGGGCAGAGGGUCUGGCCCUGUUCUGGAGGGAGAUAUGAGGAACAGAUGAUAACUCCUCUUCAAAAGGCAAUCUGAGCAUAAAUAAGGGGGCUUCUGCAGAUGGGCCUGGCCAGGGCCUCCAGCCUUGGGCUUAGCUUCAAAAUCUGCCUGGUUUGUUUUGUUCCCUCUCUAUUAAGCACACCCCCACCUACCCAGCAGUUUUGUCACUGCCCCUAGAGCCUCAGGCCACACCACGUGUUUAUAAUGGCAUCAGGAACUUGUGCCUAAUAUUGAUAUUGGGGAUCUGGCAGGUCCAGGUGCACAGCCAGGCUGGCUGGGUUCUCAGGCCUGUGACUCUGGUGUCCUUCAUCCUUCAUGAAAUAUUUCAUACUUUUAGAAAAUGUCCAGUGCUGUUUUGAAGGUAAAUGAGGUAAUGAGUGUUUCAUGGGCUGAAUAGGUAUCCCUCUAAAGUGCAUAAUGGAACCUAAUACUCAAUGUAAUGAUAUUGUGAGGUGUGGCCUUUGGGGAACUCAUGCAGUCACUUGAGACUAGUGCCUUUUUGAAGGGAGAUGCCUUGCCCACUUCCAUUAGGUGAGGUCACAGCAAGAAAGCGCCAUCUGUGAAGCAGAACCCUCACCAGACACUAAGUCUGCUAGUGCCUUGAUCUUAAACUUCCCUACACAACUGUGAAAAAUAAAUUUCUAUUGUUUACAAGUUGCUUAAUCUAAGGUUAUUUU
rnacentral:lncRNA from 1 species